AAAGUACUCCCUCCGUUUCAUAUUUUUUGUCGAAAUAUUACAUGUAUCUAGAUACUUUUUAGGAAUACAUACAUCCAUUUUUGAACAAAUUUGAGACAAAAAUUAUGCAACGGAGGGAGUACUCU
rnacentral:pre_miRNA from 1 species